UAAACUGAAGAGUUUGAUCAUGGCUCAGAUUGAACGCUGGCGGUAGGCUUAACACAUGCAAGUCGAGCGGAAACGAAGGGUGCUUGCACCCUGGCGUCGAGCGGCGGACGGGUGAGUAAUGCUUAGGAAUCUGCCCAGUAGUAGGGGAUAGCCCGGGGAAACUCGGAUUAAUACCGUAUACGCCCUUUUGGGGAAAGCAGGGGAUCUUCGGACCUUGCGCUAUUGGAUGAGCCUAAGUCGGAUUAGCUAGUUGGUGGGGUAAUGGCUCACCAAGGCAACGAUCCGUAGCUGGUCUGAGAGGAUGAUCAGCCACAUCGGGACUGAGACACGGCCCGAACUCCUACGGGAGGCAGCAGUGGGGAAUAUUGGACAAUGGGCGCAAGCCUGAUCCAGCCAUACCGCGUGUGUGAAGAAGGCUUUCGGGUUGUAAAGCACUUUCAGUGAGGAGGAAGGCCUUAAGUUUAAUACGCUUGAGGAUUGACGUCACUCACAGAAGAAGCACCGGCUAACUCCGUGCCAGCAGCCGCGGUAAUACGGAGGGUGCAAGCGUUAAUCGGAAUUACUGGGCGUAAAGCGCGCGUAGGUGGUUGAGUAAGCGAGAUGUGAAAGCCCCGGGCUUAACCUGGGAACGGCACUUCGAACUGCUCGGCUAGAGUGUGGUAGAGGGUAGUGGAAUUUCCUGUGUAGCGGUGAAAUGCGUAGAUAUAGGAAGGAACACCAGUGGCGAAGGCGGCUACCUGGACCAACACUGACACUGAGGUGCGAAAGCGUGGGGAGCAAACAGGAUUAGAUACCCUGGUAGUCCACGCCGUAAACGAUGUCAACUAGCCGUUGGGGAUCUUGAAUCCUUAGUGGCGCAGCUAACGCACUAAGUUGACCGCCUGGGGAGUACGGCCGCAAGGUUAAAACUCAAAUGAAUUGACGGGGGCCCGCACAAGCGGUGGAGCAUGUGGUUUAAUUCGACGCAACGCGAAGAACCUUACCUGGCCUUGACAUGCUGAGAACUUUCCAGAGAUGGAUCGGUGCCUUCGGGAGCUCAGACACAGGUGCUGCAUGGCCGUCGUCAGCUCGUGUCGUGAGAUGUUGGGUUAAGUCCCGUAACGAGCGCAACCCCUAUCCCUAGUUGCUAGCAGGUAAUGCUGAGAACUCUAGGGAGACUGCCGGUGACAAACCGGAGGAAGGUGGGGAUGACGUCAGGUCAUCAUGGCCCUUACGGCCAGGGCUACACACGUGCUACAAUGGUGCGUACAGAGGGUUGCAAACCCGCGAGGGGGAGCUAAUCUCACAAAACGCAUCGUAGUCCGGAUCGGAGUCUGCAACUCGACUCCGUGAAGUCGGAAUCGCUAGUAAUCGUGAAUCAGAAUGUCACGGUGAAUACGUUCCCGGGCCUUGUACACACCGCCCGUCACACCAUGGGAGUGGAUUGCACCAGAAGUGGUUAGUCUAACCUUCGGGAGGACGAUCACCACGGUGUGGUUCAUGACUGGGGUGAAGUCGUAACAAGGUAGCCCUAGGGGAACCUGGGGCUGGAUCACCUCCUUAAACGAAG
rnacentral:rRNA from 1 species